rnacentral:rRNA from 1 species
UACGUAGGGUGCGAGCGUUAAUCGGAAUUACUGGGCGUAAAGGGUGCGCAGGCGGUCUCGUAGGCUGGGUGUGAAAGCCCCGGGCUUAACCUGGGAAUGGCAUUCAGGACUGCGAGGCUUUGAGUGCGGCAGAGGGAGGUGGAAUUCCACGUGUAGCAGUGAAAUGCGUAGAGAUGUGGAGGAACACCGAUGGCGAAGGCAGCCUCCUGGGCCAGCACUGACGCUCAUGCACGAAAGCGUGGGGAGCAAACAGG